GCCUGGAUGGCUCAGUUGGUUAGAGCGCAGGUCUCAUACUACGGUAUGACCACACUCCGAGUGGGCAAUCCUGAGGUCGUGAGUUCGAUCCUCACUCCGGGCA
rnacentral:tRNA from 1 species